rnacentral:rRNA from 1 species
UACGUAGGGGGCUAGCGUUGUCCGGAAUCAUUGGGCGUAAAGAGCGUGUAGGCGGCCCGGUAAGUCCGCUGUAAAAGUCAAAGGCUCAACCUUUGAAUGUCAGUGGAUACUGCCGGGCUAGAGUCCGGAAGAGGCGAGUGGAACUCCUGGUGUAGCGGUGGAAUGCGCAGAUAUCAGGAAGAACACCAACGGCGAAGGCAGCUCGCUAGGACGUGACUGACGCUGAGACGCGAAAGCGUGGGGAGCAAACAGG